AACUCCCUGCUGCAUGUUCCCCUGUUACGAAAUUGGGUUGAUUCGGUAAUUUUAUUGAGACCUAUCCAACACAAAAUAGAUUUUAUUUCGCUGACUUCUAUUUAUAAAUGUUUGAAUUUGGUUGAUUUUUGCAGCUUGGAUGAGGAAAUACUACACAUUUCAGGAUCCUUUAUUCCAGCCAAUACUGGAAGUGUUCAUUGGUUGGACAAAUAUUAUGCUGAUGCUGGAACUGACAGUAACAAGAAGCCAAGGAUACAGACCGAGGAAGAAGUUGAAAUGCAAGAGCAGGUCACUGUAGGCGGAGAGACAUUACCUUUGGUUAAUGACCACGAAGUAAAGAGGUCAAAGAAACGUAGAAGAGCAGAAGAUCAAUGAAGGCUGUUGUUGCUUCCUGGUUGUUUACCAUUCUCGUUUUAUCUUUUUGAUCCCGCUCUGUUGUAUGAUCAGUCAAACAGUUUUAAUUCCUCACAAAAUCUCUUUUUUUCAUUUGUAUUUGGGGUUGAAUUGUUAUGCCUACCUGAUUAUUCUUAACCCCAACAUUGAUUAACAUUGACCCCUCACCAAGUACAUCUCUCGGGAUGCAAUUUGUUGUAAAUACAAAUAUUUUGCUUCAAGUAAUUUGAAUUUCUGUAGAGGUGGCACG